rnacentral:lncRNA from 1 species
GAAAUUUGUGCUGAAAGCCUAGCCCUAUGCACAGAUCUGAAACUCAAGAAGCAACUUGAUAAACAGAAUCUAAGUGGCAAAAAGGAAUUAGGAGAUUUUUGCCAACAAUUUGGCUAUCAUAUGGACCAAGGUCAUAUAGAUAAAACCAAACCGCAUAAAAUCCAUAAAGUAUAUAAAAAGAAAAAACAUCGAAAUAAACCAGAUAAAACCUAUAAGUCUUU